GACAGAGGGUGCAAACGUUGUUCGGAAUUACUGGGCGUAAAGCGUGUGUAGGCGGCUACGUAAGUCGGAUGUGAAAGCCCCAGGCUCAACCUGGGAAGUGCACUCGAUACUGCGUAGCUUGAGUAUCGGAGAGGUUGGUGGAAUUCUCGGUGUAGAGGUGAAAUUCGUAGAUAUUCGCAAGAACACCAGUGGCGAAGGCGGCUGACUGGUCCGGUUCUGACGCUGAGGCGCGAAAGCGUGGGGAGCAAACAGG
rnacentral:rRNA from 1 species